AGUCGAACGGUGAAGCAGAGCUUGCUCUGUGGAUCAGUGGCGAACGGGUGAGUAACACGUGAGCAAUCUGCCCCUGACUCUGGGAUAAGCGCUGGAAACGGCGUCUAAUACCGGAUAUGAGCUGCGACCGCAUGGUCGGCAGUUGGAAAGAAUUUCGGUCAGGGAUGAGCUCGCGGCCUAUCAGCUUGUUGGUGAGGUAAUGGCUCACCAAGGCGUCGACGGGUAGCCGGCCUGAGAGGGUGACCGGCCACACUGGGACUGAGACACGGCCCAGACUCCUACGGGAGGCAGCAGUGGGGAAUAUUGCACAAUGGGCGCAAGCCUGAUGCAGCAACGCCGCGUGAGGGAUGACGGCCUUCGGGUUGUAAACCUCUUUUAGCAGGGAAGAAGCGAAAGUGACGGUACCUGCAGAAAAAGCGCCGGCUAACUACGUGCCAGCAGCCGCGGUAAUACGUAGGGCGCAAGCGUUAUCCGGAAUUAUUGGGCGUAAAGAGCUCGUAGGCGGUCUGUCGCGUCUGCUGUGAAAACCCGAGGCUCAACCUCGGGCCUGCAGUGGGUACGGGCAGACUAGAGUGCGGUAGGGGAGAUUGGAAUUCCUGGUGUAGCGGUGGAAUGCGCAGAUAUCAGGAGGAACACCGAUGGCGAAGGCAGAUCUCUGGGCCGUAACUGACGCUGAGGAGCGAAAGGGUGGGGAGCAAACAGGCUUAGAUACCCUGGUAGUCCACCCCGUAAACGUUGGGAACUAGUUGUGGGGUCCAUUCCACGGAUUCCGUGACGCAGCUAACGCAUUAAGUUCCCCGCCUGGGGAGUACGGCCGCAAGGCUAAAACUCAAAGGAAUUGACGGGGACCCGCACAAGCGGCGGAGCAUGCGGAUUAAUUCGAUGCAACGCGAAGAACCUUACCAAAGGCUUGACAUAUAGAGGAAACGUCUGGAAACAGUCGCCCCGCA
rnacentral:rRNA from 1 species